rnacentral:lncRNA from 1 species
CCGCGGCCCCCAUGAUGAUCCAAAUGAUGCGAAUGCAGCAUAUGGAUUAAAAGCUUAGAUGUAGCAGAGGUUGCUCAAGAUUGUAAAGAGAGCCCCGAAAUGGUAGCUGCCCAGAGUGUCUCAAGGACAGUGUAUCAUGUGGUGAUGCAGGUCCAGCGUUUACCAGAAGAUUAGUCGGACCCUGUGGCGACUUCCUCCUGCUGCUUUCGCAGCUCCAGCCGGAGACAUGGCGGAGAUGCAAGGGGGAGCUGCGUGCGAAGGCUCGGGGAGAAGAUCGGACCCGUCGUCCACGAGCCGCAGAGGACGGUGGCGCGAGGGACGGAGCAGCCCACCACGUACGCGAGGGCACCCUCUUCCCAGAAUAGCCGACAGGUUUGCGGCAAGGGGUCUGAACGGUAACUGGCUGAAAAACCGAAUACGAGGACCCUUCCGAUGACCCGUGACCUUAGAUUUUUACUGUCUUAUUGUUUUCAUCGAGGACGCCCGCGGUACCUGCUCUGAAUGUGUCUCUGUGUUCCGCUAUUUCCAUAAUUGGGCCGUUUAAUGACACUGCUUAUGUAUUCAUAAGCUCUGGAAAUGGAUUUACGUGAUUUGACGGGAUAUUACAUGUGCAGCGUUACUCAGUGUAGAUCUUGUUCGAUCCAUUAAACCUGUUAAUGAACAAAGGCACUUGUUUCCAGGUUCCUCUAUUCCAGACGCACCUUAACAACGGCAAAACGCGGCGGCUCCCCCCCCACCCCCUCCCCCAGGCGACGGGGAGAAUGCGUUUGACCACAGCCGGACCUUCGCGACUUUCAUUAACACCUGGCCGUUAGAGGACCGGUCUGUUGCGCGCGGCUCGGAGCGAG